rnacentral:rRNA from 1 species
AGUGAACGCUGGCGGUAGGCCUAACACAUGCAAGUCGAACGGCAGCACAGUAAGAGCUUGCUCUUACGGGUGGCGAGUGGCGGACGGGUGAGGAAUACAUCGGAAUCUACUUUUUCGUGGGGGAUAACGUAGGGAAACUUACGCUAAUACCGCAUACGACCUACGGGGGAAAGCAGGAGAUCUUCGGACCUUGCGCGAUUGAAUGAGCCGAUGUCGGAUUAGCUAGUUGGCGGGGUAAAGGCCCACCAAGGCGACGAUCCGUAGCUGGUCUGAGAGGACGAUCAGCCACACUGGAACUGAGACACGGUCCAGACUCCUACGGGAGGCAGCAGUGGGGAAUAUUGGACAAUGGGCGCAAGCCUGAUCCAGCCAUACCGCGUGGGUGAAGAAGGCCUUCGGGUUGUAAAGCCCUUUUGUUGGGAAAGAAAAGCAGCAGGUUAAUACCCCGCUGUUCUGACGGUACCCAAAGAAUAAGCACCGGCUAACUUCGUG